GAGCCGCGGUAAUACGUAGGGGGCAAGCGUUGUCCGGAAUUAUUGGGCGUAAAGCGCGCGCAGGCGGUCAUGUAAGUCUGGUGUUUAAGCCCAGGGCUCAACCCUGGUACGCAUCGGAAACUGUGUGACUUGAGUGCAGAAGAGGAAAGUGGAAUUCCACGUGUAGCGGUGAAAUGCGUAGAGAUGUGGAGGAACACCAGUGGCGAAGGCGACUUUCUGGACUGUAACUGACGCUGAGGCGCGAAAGCGUGGGGAUCAAACA
rnacentral:rRNA from 1 species